GACAGAGGUGCCGAGCGUUAGGCGGAAUCACUGGGCUUAAAGCGUGUGUAGGCGGGCGGGCAAGUACCUUGUGAAAUCCCACGGCUCAACCGUGGAACGGCUGGGUAUACUGCCUGUCUUGAGCCAACUAGGGGCGAGCGGAACAGACGGUGGAGCGGUGAAAUGCGUAGAUAUCGUCUGGAACGCCGGAAGGUGAAAACAGCUCGCUGGGGUUGUGCUGACGCUGAGACACGAAAGCCAGGGGAGCGAACGGG
rnacentral:rRNA from 1 species